rnacentral:rRNA from 1 species
UAAAAAGAUAGUUAGGUGGAAAUAUGUGUUAGAGUUUUAAUUAUAGUAUAUUACUAAGGUAAAAUUUAGAAUGAUUUUAUUUUUAUAUAAACUUGAUUUGUUGAUGCUAUGAAUGUUUUUAAAGAAACUAGGAUUAGAUACCCUAUUAUUUUAAAUUAUAAAUUGAUUUUUUUUCUACCAAAGUAUUAUGAAUAGUAAGUUUAAAAUUUAAAGGACUUGGCGGUGUCUUAGACUACUUAGGGGAACCUGUUUUUUAAUCGAUAGUCCUCGUUUUACCUUACCUUUUCUUGUUUUCAGUUUGUAUACCGUCGUCGUCAGUUAACUUUAGAGAAAAUUGAAGUUGUCUUUUUAAAUUUUAUUUUAGAUGUCAGAUCAAGGUGCAGCUUAUGGAUAGGUUAAUAUGGGUUACAAUUAUUUAAUUAUAAUAUGGAUGUUUAUAUGAAACUAUUUUUUGAAGGAGGACUUAAAAGUAAUUUAAUUUAGAUAU